rnacentral:rRNA from 1 species
UAGGGAAUUUUGCACAAUGGGCGCAAGCCUGAUGCAGCAACGCCGCGUGAGUGAAGAAGGCUCUUGGGUCGUAAAGCUCUUUCGGCUGGGAAGAAGGGACUGUCUGCGAAUAGUUGGCAGUUUUGACGGUACCAGAAGAAGAAGCACCUGCUAACUACGUGCCAGCAGCAGCGGUAAUACGUAGGGUGCAAGCGUUGUUCGGAAUUACUGGGCGUAAAGGGCGCGUAGGCGGGCCCGUGUGUCGAUUGUGAAAGCCCUGAGCUUAACUUGGGAAUUGCAGUCGAAACUGCGGGUCUUGAAUGCCUGAGGGGAUGGCGGAAUUCCCGGUGUAGAAGUGAAAUUCGUAGAUAUCGGGAAGAACACCUGAGGCGAAGGCGGCUAUCUGGCAGUGCAUUGACGC